AGCGAACGCUGGCGGCAGGCCUAACACAUGCAAGUCGAACGAACCUUUCGGGGUUAGUGGCGGACGGGUGAGUAACACGUGGGAACGUGCCUUUAGGUUCGGAAUAACUCAGGGAAACUUGUGCUAAUACCGAAUGUGCCCUUCGGGGGAAAGAUUAAUCGCCUUUAGAGCGGCCCGCGUCUGAUUAGCUGGUUGGUUGAGGUAAUGGCACACCAAUGCGACGAUCAGUAGCUGGUCUGAGAGGAUGAUAAGCCACAUUGGGACUGAGACACGGCCCAAACUCCUACGGGAGGCAGCAGUGGGGAAUCUUGCGCAAUGAGCGCAAGCCUGACGCAGCCAUGCCGCGUGAAUGAUGAAGGUCUUAGGAUUGUAAAAUUCUUUCACCGGAGACGAUAAUGACGGUACCCGGAGAAGAAGCCCCGGCUAACUUCGUG
rnacentral:rRNA from 1 species